AGUUUUGAGGCAUGUUGAAGAAUUUGUCUGAGUGGCAGAAGCUUUCUACGCGGCCCGAGGAGAUAGCCAUGUGCCUUUGCUACCACUCAUAUUUGAGAGGUGACUUCGACAAGAUGACUUUGACAAAGUGACUUUGACUUGACAGACAUAUUAACACGAAACAGGCUAUGUCUACCACAUUCUACAAGUUUCUUUCACCACGAAAGAGGCCAGGAAGCUGGCUUCUGGCCCCACAGGGGAGUCCUCCCAAUAUGCUUGUUUUCCCUGGACUCUCCCAGAUUGAGAUGUUAGCACAGUUGAAGGAUAACUUUUCAACUGUCCUACUGCCUGACCUUGAGCUCGAUUAAUGGGUCCCUGCAUGAUUUCUCGGAAGGAUGCAGAGGUAACAUGGUUCACCAAUGGCAACAGCCUCAUUCAGGAUGGACAGAGGUCCACCUCCAAAGCUCCACCAACUUUAGCCUGGAGAUUGGGCCCUAGUCAAGAGACACUGCCAGAGGUCACUAGAGCUUCACUGAAAGGGUCCCUGUGCUACAGAGUUGCAGUGUGGAUUCACCACACAUCCAUUUGCAGUUGAAGAAGAAAGACCCUGGCCAGCAGGAGGAGAAUUCAGCCUCAAGACUCCUUCCUGUCUCCCAUUAAUGGGCUCCUACCCAUGCCCCCACCGCAAAGAUAUUACUGUUACUGCUUUCAUGAAGGUUCAGAAAGUCCCAUGAUUGGUACUUCUAGUCACAAGAGAAAGGGGUGGGGGGAUGAGAUGCCAAAGCUUUUAAGUCCAGACUCCAUUUUAGGGAAGCUGACCUGAGUUUGAACCCAGGUGAACUAACAGGAUGGUACCUAGCAUUAGUUUCCAAGUUGCUCCCCCCCCAGCCCCCCCCCCCCCCCCGCAACAAAACCUGAGCCUAGCUCCAGUCUCUAUGUUAAUCCCCACAAAAGCAGAGUUUACCAGUGUCUCUAGGUUAUUCCUCCAACAAACCUGCAUUCCAAGUUACAAGCCCACCCCUUGCCUAAUGACCACCAAUUCAGAGGGGAGCAGAAGUUAAGUUUAUAUGACUCUCAGCACCAGUCAAUUGUAUUAGAGGCCACAAUAGCUUUCCAAUUAGAUGCUUGUACACGUACUUCCUGCUUGCUACUUACUAUAAAGCCUUGCCCCAUAGGCAUUCGGGGCUCCCCCACCACCAAAACCAUCCUGUGUGAUGGUGGUGCAUUGGGGGUGGGGGUGUAGGAGAGCUAGCUGGAAUAGAAUAAAGACCCUGCUGUGAAUUGCAUCAGA
rnacentral:lncRNA from 1 species